UUGCGCAUCGUGCGACACAGCUCGAUGUACACAUUUUUGAGUGCCUA
rnacentral:rRNA from 1 species